rnacentral:rRNA from 1 species
UACGUAGGGGGCGAGCGUUGUCCGAAGUUACUGGGCGUAAAGAGUGCGUAGGCGGCUUGACAAGUUGCAUCUAAAAGGCGGCAGCUCAACUGACGAGUGCGGUGCAAGACUGUAAAGCUUGAGGCAAGCAGAAGAAUGUGGAACUCCGAGUGUAGCGGUGGAAUGCGUAGAGAUUCGGAAGAACACCCAUGGCGAAGGCAGUGUCCUGGGUGGUCGCUGACGCUGAGAGGCGAAAGCCAGGGGAGCGAGCGGG